rnacentral:sRNA from 1 species
GUGGUUGAACUGGAGUUUUCCAUUUAUCCACAGAACGAGUUCUGUGUUUCCAGCUGCAGUGCAGGCCUGUCCAAAGUACCCUGCCAGCGUGUUUACACCCUGACCUGGAGGGACCAGCUAAGGGUGAGACUGUGAUUCACUAUCCAUGUCCAUCCCAUGUUUGUUUGGU